rnacentral:rRNA from 1 species
GGGGAAUAUUGGGCAAUGGGCGCAAGCCUGACCCAGCAACGCCGCGUGAGGGAAGAAGGUUUUCGGAUUGUAAACCUCUGUCGCAGAUGACGAAGGAAGUGACGGUAAUCUGUGAGGAAGCCCGGCUAACUACGUGCCAGCAGCCGCGGUAAUACGUAGGGGGCGAGCGUUGUCCGGAAUUACUGGGCGUAAAGGGAGCGUAGGCGGUCGAUUAAGUUGGAUGUGAAAUACCCGGGCUUAACUUGGGGGGUGCAUCCAAUACUGGUUGACUAGAGUACAGGAGAGGAAAGCGGAAUUCCGCGUGUAGCAGUGAAAUGCGUAGAUAUGCGGAGGAACACCGAUGGCGAAGGCAAUCCCCUGGGCCUGCACUGACGCUCAUGCACGAAAGCGUGGGGAGCAAACA